AUUGAACGCUGGCGGCAUGCCUUACACAUGCAAGUCGAACGGCAGCGCGGACUUCGGUCUGGCGGCGAGUGGCGAACGGGUGAGUAAUACAUCGGAACAUACCCUGUUGUGGGGGAUAACUGUCGAAAGAUUAGCUAAUACCGCAUACGACCUGAGGGUGAAAGUGGGGGACCGCAAGGCCUCACGCAGCAGGAGCGGCCGAUGUCUGAUUAGCUAGUUGGUGGGGUAAAGGCCCACCAAGGCGACGAUCAGUAGCUGGUCUGAGAGAACGAUCAGCCACACUGGGACUGAGACACGGCCCAGACUCCUACGGGAGGCAGCAGUGGGGAAUUUUGGACAAUGGGGGCAACCCUGAUCCAGCAAUGCCGCGUGUGUGAAGAAGGCCUUCGGGUUGUAAAGCACUUUUGUCCGGAAAGAAAUCGCGCUGGUUAAUACCUGGCGUGGAUGACGGUACCGGAAGAAUAAGCACCGGCUAACUACGUGCCAGCAGCCGCGGUAAGAC
rnacentral:rRNA from 1 species